AUCAAUCAGUGGUAUGAUGCAACUGCUGCAGUGAAAAAGAGGAAGCUUUUCAUAAAGAGGAAGAAGGGUUUUUGAGAGGGCAAGAAUUAGAAAAUGCAGUAUUAGAUGCUGAGUACACAAAGGCAAUACAAAUUGCUUUGGAGCUCCGGAGACCUCAUAAACUUUUUGAGUUGUUUUCUGAGCUCUGCAGGAUGAGAGAAGCUGGGGAUCAUAUAGACAAGGCUCUUCAUGCCCUUGGCAAAGAAGAAUUUCUUCUACUUUUUGAGUAUAAACGAGAAUGGAAUACAAAGCCGAAGCUGUGUCACGUUGCGCAAUCUGUUCUUUUCCGAGC